AUUUUCCUGAUGAUAAGUUCAAUCUGAACAAAGUGCUGUUGAUUCACAACUUAAAAUUAAACCAAAAGGAUUCUGAUAACCAAAAAAU